rnacentral:rRNA from 1 species
CCUGGCUUGCCAGGUGUCCUUAGUGGCGCACGGGUGAGUAACGCGUGGGAAUCUGCCCAAGAGUGGGGAAUAACUAUUGGAAACGAUAGCUAAUACCGCAUACGCCCUCCGGGGGAAAGGCUUCGGCCGCUCAUGGAUGAUCCCGCGUCUGAUUAGCUUGUUGGUGGGGUAACGGCCUACCAAGGCGACGAUCAGUAGCUGGUCUGAGAGGAUGAUCAGCCACACUGGGACUGAGACACGGCCCAGACUCC